rnacentral:rRNA from 1 species
GUGCCAGCAGCCGCGGUAAUACGGAGGGUGCGAACGUUGUUCGGUGUCACUGGGCUUAGAGGGUGCGUAGGCGGCCCGGCGUGUGAGUGGUGAAAGCCCUCGGCUUAACCGAGGAAUUGCCAUUCAAACUACCGGGCUUGAGGGCCGGAGGGGGAAGCGGAACGUCAGGUGUAGCGGUGAAAUGCGUUGAUACCUGACGGAACGCCAGCGGCGAAGGCGGCUUCCUGGUCGGUUUCUGACGCUGAGGCACGAAAGCGUGGGGAUCAAACGGGAUUAGAUACCCCGGUAGUCCACGCUGUAAACGAUGGGCACUAGGUAGUGGCGGCUUGACGCCGUCACUGCCGUAGCGUAAGCGGUAAGUGCCCCGCCUGGGGAGUACGGUCGCAAGGCUGAAACUCAAAUGAAUUGACGGGG